CCUCAAAUGAUGAAUUGUAGAAUGGAGCAGCAUGUCUGUGUGUCUGCGUCUUCAUCUGGGUUUGUCAGGCCACUGUGUCUGUGAACUUAGCUCCAUGAAAGCAAGAAGCCUAUGAGAAUUCCACCAGGGGCAAACCUGGCCUUGGCGCCUCACUGUCCUCGCGUGUGUCUGGCCCUCCCAUUCCUGGCCAAGGCCCACAGCCACCACUGAUGACCUGCUGAUGCCUCUGCUGAAAUCAGUGGCCACUGGCCAACAGCUUGGCAAGAGUGUCAGCUCCCUCCCGAGAUGAAAUCAGAGGAAAACGCCUCUAGUUUCCAAGAAGCACACAGGGGGCCAUUUCUUUACCGCUUGCUCCUGCAGGGUUUUGCUCCCGGAACUCCGCCCUGCGGGUGCUGGUUUGCCUCCUGAGUCCUGUCCUCAGGACAUCCUGCGCAUCUACUCCUGAUGGGCUUUCACAUUCAAGAGACACUGGAGCUGCCAUAACCUUGAGUGGACGUGAGCUUGGCCAGAUUGCACUGUCCAAAUGCCAGGACCCAGGGCCCCGGGGAGAUCCCUGAUGCAUGUGGCUGUGCUCUUGGAGGAUCUUGAUCACUCCGGCACGUUUCUUGCAGCAAUCUGCACUUGGAACAGCAUUUGAUAUGGAGGGAAACACUAGUAUAAUAUCAAG
rnacentral:lncRNA from 1 species